UGCUUGCAUUCACCGUAAGAAGUUGAGUGGCGGACGGGUGAGUAACACGUGGGUAACCUGCCUAAAAGAAGGGGAUAACACUUGGAAACAGGUGCUAAUACCGUAUAUCUCUAAGGAUCGCAUGAUCUUUAGAUGAAAGAUGGUUCUGCUAUCGCUUUUAGAUGGACCCGCGGCGUAUUAACUAGUUGGUGGGGUAACGGCCUACCAAGGUGAUGAUACGUAGUCGAACUGAGAGGUUGAUCGGCCACAUUGGGA
rnacentral:rRNA from 1 species